AGAGAGGUUGGCGCGGGUAAGCGUCUCGCCAACCCGGUCAGAUCCGGAAGGAAGCAGCCGUAACGAGCCUAGCUUGGGUCGUUGUCCAAUCUCUCACCU
rnacentral:SRP_RNA from 1 species